rnacentral:rRNA from 1 species
GAUGAACGCUAGCUACAGGCUUAACACAUGCAAGUCGAGGGGCAGCACAGUGUAGCAAUACAUGGGUGGCGACCGGCGCACGGGUGCGUAACGCGUAUCCAACCUUCCCGUUACUCUUGGAUAGCCUUCCGAAAGGGAGAUUAAUACAAGAUGGUGUUGAAAUUCCGCAUGUUAUUUCAACUAAAGAUUUAUCGGUAACGGAUGGGGAUGCGUGACAUUAGGUAGAUGGCGGGGUAACGGCCCACCAUGCCUACGAUGUCUAGGGGUUCUGAGAGGAAGGUCCCCCACACUGGAACUGAGACACGGUCCAGACUCCUACGGGAGGCAGCAGUGAGGAAUAUUGGUCAAUGGCCGGAAGGUUGAACCCAGCCAAGUAGCGUGAAGGAUGAAGGUUCUAUGGAUUGUAAACUUCUUUUAUACGGGAAUAAAACCACCUACGUGUAGGUGCUUGUAUGUACCGUAUGAAUAAGCAUCGGCUAACUCCGUG